GCAGUAGCCACGGUAAUACGAAGGGGGCUAGCGUUGUUCGGAAUUACUGGGCGUAAAGCGCACGUAGGCGGAUCCUUAAGUCAGAGGUGAAAUCCCAAGGCUCAACCUUGGAACUGCCUUUGAUACUGGGGAUCUCGAGUUCGGGAGAGGUGAGUGGAACUGCGAGUGUAGAGGUGAAAUUCGUAGAUAUUCGCAAGAACACCAGUGGCGAAGGCGGCUCACUGGCCCGAUACUGACGCUGAGGUGCGAAAGCGUGGGGAGCAAACAGGAUUAGAUACCCCUGUAGUCCCUGUCUCUUAUAC
rnacentral:rRNA from 1 species